AUGGCCUGGACUCCUCUCCUGCUCGUGCUCCUGUCUCACUGCACAGGGAGGGACCGGCCCUGGGGACCAGGUUCCCUCUCCCAGCCUGUGCCGACUCAGCCGCCCUCGCUCUCUACAUCUCCUGGAGCAUCAGCCAGACUCACCUGCACCCUGAGCAGUGGGUACAGUGUUGGCAGCUACCACAUAUUCUGGUACCAGCAGAAGCCAGGGAGCCCUCCCCGGUACCUCCUGAGGUUCAGGUCAGACUCUGAUAAGCACCAGGGCUCCGGGAUCCCCAGCCGCUUCUCUGGAUCCAAAGAUGCCUCGGCCAACGCAGGGCUCCUGCUCAUCUCUGGGCUGCAGCCCGAGGACGAGGCUGACUAUUACUGUGCUACAGUUCACAGCAACACUGGUACUUACACGGUGCUCCAGACCAACAGGAAAGUGAGACUAAAAGCUCCCCUGUGCCCUCCCCCUGAGACAGUCACUGCUGCUCUGCCUGGACCAUGUCUAACUCAGGAUACCCUGUUGUUCCUUCUGCCUCUGGCUGCCGGAGCCCCUGAGAUGUGGAGCUACUGCUCUGUCUACUCGUGA